rnacentral:rRNA from 1 species
ACUCAAAUGAAUAGACGGGGGCCCGCACAAGCAGCGGAGCGUGUGGUUUAAUUCGAGGCUACCCGAAGAACCUUACCUGGGUUUGACAUGCGCGUGGUAGGGAACCGAAAGGGGACCGACCUUCGGGAGCGCGCACAGGUGCUGCAUGGCUGUCGUCAGCUCGUGUCGUGAGAUGUACGGUUAAGUCCGCAAACGAGCGCAACCCCCGGGAGUAGUUACAGGUGUCUACUCCGACUGCCCGUGAGAAACGGGAGGAAGGUGGGGAUGACGUCAAGUCAGCAUGGCCUUUAUAUCCAGGGCGACACACACGCUACAAUGGGCGGUACAGAGGGGAGCGAAAGCGCGAGCUGGAGCCAAUCCCGCAAAGCCGCUCGUAGUUCGGAUUGCAGGCUGCAACCCGCCUGCAUGAAGUUGGAGUUGCUAGUAACCGUGGGUCAGCCAAACCACGGUGAAUACGUUCCCGGGCCUUGUACACACCGCCCGU